UAGGGACUCAUCCUCCUAAUGUUGCUGCUGUUUACCGAAACAUUGACAAGCUAUUUGCACUUCCUGUAGGUUAUGACCUGGUAAGACAGAGCAAAGCCAUUACGAAAUUUAAUAUUUACACUAGCUUUGUGUUUUAGAGCUUGGAGUUGAUAAAUAUCUUAAUCUUUUUUUGUCUGGAGGCCAGUGUAGUAUUUUGAAAAUGGAGUUAAUAUUGAGUCUCUGCAGGUAUGGAGGAAUUGUCUAGAUGACUACACCACACCGGUCUCUAUUUGGUAUCCGCGAGCACCUGAUGGAUUCUUCUCCCUGGGAUGUGUAGCUGUUGCGGGUUUUGAAGAGCCAGAAGCUGAUUUGGUACGUUGUGUGGCAGAAACAGUUGCAGAGGAGACAACAUUUGAGGAGCAGAAGGUAUGGUGUGCUCCAGAAUCAUAUCCGUG
rnacentral:lncRNA from 1 species